CCCACUGCCGCACGGGGGCGUGGCCAGAAUCUGCCCGGAGGCUCACCACGCCCCGCUUCACAAACUCUGCAAGCCAGGAAAAGUCAUCCAGUCUGACUGGCCCCCUGGCUCUCACAUCCCAUCCAGAAUUUUCCUGUCAAGUGAUCCAGUUGUCUUAUACCUAAAAACAAAGCAACACCAACCUAAAAGACAGGCACACACAUUACUAACAAGCUCUGGAUCCUGUUAAAAGAGAACAUCAGUCACGAAGCACAGUCUGAAGAGGGAAGAUGAAAGUAGAAAAGAGACCAUCAAAGAGAGGAAGAUCUCAUGGUGGUGGGUGUUCUAGGCACAGAAGCCCCUAAGGAUGCUUCCAGAAUUAUGGAGACGUGUACCAAAUGAAGCUGAGGAGAGAAUUCUUAAUGAUGAAGAACUGUUGGAAGCAAGACUGGGAAGGGCUGACCUAUGACUUCUAGCAAAUAACACAACUGUGUCUCCAGAACUGAGUGGAUACUGAGACCCUAAGCCCAUACCUGCCCAACCUAUAGGAGGAAGUAGCCUUGGGGAUGUCACUGUGUUCCUGCCAAUGGCCCAAGGCUCAUUGAGCUAAUUGCUUUCUGGGGAAAGUGGUUUUGCUUUAUAUGUCUUAACAUCUGGGGAGAGAGACCACCUGUACAUCGCAGGAAGCACACCAGGACAACUACAGCAUGAAGCACACCAGAACGACUACAGCAUUAACAGGCUUGGCGAAGGCCACUGGUAAAAGGCAAGGUGCCCUCUCACAAGGAUACCAAUGUCACCAAAACGAAGUAGAGGAGCCAAUCUAUACCAGUCACUGCAGUCACUAUCAAGGAGAUUAAAAUACCUCUGCUCAGCCCUAAAAAUGCUGAGAGGAAAAUAAAUUAUGAGACAUUAGCAAUCUAAGGAGAAAGCUGUAGAAUAGCACAUUGUUUAGAAGUAAGACCUUAACACGUCAAGGCUCUUUAGUGGAUGCUGUGCUUGUUAUUGUCAGGUAUAGACACCUAGUAAGAAAGAUGGAUAUCCCAUCAUGUAUUUUAGGCUAAUAGUUGAGUGUGAUGAAAAGAAGAUCUUAAUAAGGAAGAAAUCUGAAUUUCCCUUAAAUAAUAACAACAAGCAAAUAGUUGGGCAAAUGGAAUGGCUUGUGUUGGUAGAAGUCAACUUAUUUCUCAAAAAAAAAAAAAAAAAAAGUAAAAUGUUACCUUUUUA
rnacentral:lncRNA from 1 species